GGCUAGAUCCAGGCAUCAAUUUUUGUUAGGCUAGUCUCUUAGAUCAUGUUUAAUAGUAUAGCCAAAUGUUAGAUAUAAACAUAUACCUCGGCAUCUUCUAAGAUUAUAACAUAUAAUGGUUAACUAUUGAUACAAUAAACACCAGACAUAUUUUAUUAAUAUAUUUUCAACAAUAACCCCUUUUCACACAAAUCGACAUUUCUCAUGCGCUAGUGGUGGGACCUAUUUUCUUGAAGCUCGUAUGUAGCUGGUUGCUAUUUAGUAGCCCACUUAACCCGUCUUCUCACUUGUCUCCUCCACGUUGACAUCCAGGGGCUUGGGUUGCCUUGGAACCUGAACCUGCAAAUCAGCCGUUAUUUCUUGCUUGAAGCAUUCACGGUAUGCGAAAAAUAAGCUACCUUAUAAUACUUGCUCUUAGGUUGCCGACCUAAUUAUACCCUAAAAUACUCUAUAUAAUAACUUAUGCCCUUUUUUUAACCAAUUACACGCUCCUAGUCUACCACUGCUAAAGUUUUUCAUCUAGUCUCUUCCUAACCCAUGAUCGUAUUUCCUUCUUUAGUCUACUACUGUUAAAGUUUUCUGACGAAGGUAGUAAGUACAAAAAAAAUUAUAUUUUCAGGAUAAGGGAGUAAGUACAAAAACUAGUAUGUGGAAAAUAAAGUAGUAUAAAUAUUGCUAGAUGGGAAAUAAAGAAUAAAGUAUAUUAUGGGACUGAGUGUGUACUCGAUGUAAACGUUUCUGCCACAACACACGUUCAUACGAGAGAGAAGACACGCUGGAUAUCAAGAAACGUGCUAAUACUUCAUAUACACUUCAACACGUUGAUGCUAUGUUUGAGUUGAUAGCUAAGAAUUGGUAAAUAUGUUUGUUUAGUGUGUAAAACCUAAAAGUUCUUAUUUUAAAUUCAGAUGUGAAAUAUGAUUUGUUUUUCUCGAGAACUAUUUGAAUGUACUAACAAUCUUACCUCUUGUUUGAGUAGAUAACUAAGAAUUGGUAAAUAUGUUAGUUUAGUGGGUAAAAACUGAAAGUUCUAAUUUUUAACUUAGAUGCAAUAUAUGCCUUUUUUCUUUCUCGAGAACUAUGUGAAUUAAUAACAAUCUUACCUUUUGUUGAAUACAGGUGAAUAAGAUGGUAAUAUAUGCCAUUGAUCAUAUCUUGAGGGAUCUUAAGAAAGAUCUCUGCCCUCCCGACGAAACGGAUUAGAUGGUAUACCAUGUAGAGAUAUCUAAGGUCAAUAAAUAAUAACUUUGCUAGGAAUUUUGUAUUUUGUUGUUAAACCUUCCUAGAAUCUGCGAAGGGAUUUUGAAUUGUACAAUAUAUAACCUUUACUGUGAGUGGUAAUCUAGCUAAUGUGAUAAAAUGUGAUAAAAUGGUACUCCAUUCACUUCCAAAUUUUUAUUUGACGAUUUGGAUCUACGUUUGACAUCUUAUUAAAAAAAUUAUGUAAUUAUUAAUUAUUUUUUAUAAUUUGAUUUAUUACAAAAGACAUUUUAAGCAUGACUUGUAAUUUUUCAUGUUUAUAUAUAAAUUUUGAAUGAGAAGAAUGGUUAAAGUACGUCCAAAAAGUCGAUCUCAAUAAAUAAAAAUAAAAAUACAGAGCGAGAAAGAUUAUGCAUGGGAGUCAUAUUUUUGCUUGGUAGAGAAAUAUGUUAAAUGGAAUAUUUAUAAAUAAAAGUAAUUUAUAAAUAAAACUUUUAUAUACAUGUUCUUAGUCAUCUAAAAGACAGAAAAAUAAAUUACGAUAAAAAACCUUAAAAUCAUCUUAAAAUUUCUUUAGCAAUAAAUUAAAUUAUAACAAAAUAAUUAACAAUUAUAUAAUUUUUUUAAGCAAGACGAAUGGUUAAAUAUAAACACAUAUAUCUUUUAUUUAUGUUGAGGUACCAAAAUUUUACAGUAAAAAUUUAAUGCAUCUAAUACAUUCUUAAAAACCAUAAAAUUUCUCUUUUAUAAUACAUCAUUCACCAAAUACCCUUGUUUUAGUGUUUUCUGUCAUAAUUAAAUAAGACUACAUUGAUAAAUACAUAUCAUAGAAAGUGAAUAUAGGUAGUGAAAAGUGGUAUAGCCAACUCUAGCUCUAUAAAUUAGCGUACCAUCUAUUACUAAUCUAAUAGCAUACUCAGAAUAUUAUAUACUACUAAAUUAUUAGUACAUGGGCAUACCUUUCGCAACAUAGCUCGUUGGAGUACUUGUUAUAGUUGGUUAAGGCAUUUUUGAUGUAUAUUCUCUUAUGAUGUGUAAGACUAGACGUCAUAAGACAUGCCAUAAGUGACAAUUUAGAUAAACAUGUUUUCAUAUUUAGACUUAUAUAACUUAGACUAAGGUGGGUUCUACUGGGAUAAAAAUAAUCUUCUCUUUUUCAACUUUUCUCGUACUGCAACAUUAAAAUAUUUUAGCUAACAUAUUAUUUUAAUCUAAACACCAGUUGCCCAUAUGAGCUAUGGGUGCUUAUUAGAUAUAGCAUAACAUUCUUGCUCCAAUGUAUUAUACCUCUCUUAUUUAUCUCUCGUGUAUGCACCUCCAGCGCCUCCCAGAUCAUACAUCAAAGUUGUCCUUAUAAUUGGUAGCCUACUUUUUUUUUCUUUUCCCUCUUCUCUUUACUCCAUGUCACUUUAUUAUAAUAGUUCUAUAUAAAUACUCACUCUUAGCUGUGAGGCACCGUAAAUAUGUGAAUUGACUGUAGCACUCUCAAGAAAAAUGUAAUUAGCUAAUGGAUACAGUGGGUAAGUCGGUACUAUUUUAUUAACUCCAGUGUAGAUGGAGAGAAAACAGUGAGGACUAUACUAAGGCCCUGUUUAGUUUCCAAAUACUUUUUCUAAAAAAUCAUAUUGAAUCUUUGGACACCUAAAUAAAACAUUAAAUAUAUAUGAACAUUAAAACUAAUUACAUAAUUAUAGAAAAAUCGUGAAACGAAUCUUUUAAACCUAAUUAGGACAUGAUUAGUCAUAAAUGCUAUAGUAACCAACAUGUACUAAUGAUGGAUUAAUUAGACUCAGAAGAUUCGUCUCGUGGUUUCCAGACGGAAUCUAAAAUUUGUUUUUUCAUUCGUGUCCGAAAACUCCUUCCGAUAUCCGGUCAAACGUUCGACGUGACCCUUUUGCCAAAAAUUUUUGGAAACUAAACAAGUCCUAAUUUAUUCCUGUCAAUCGACUUGGUCAAAUGAUUUUUGAAGUGCCCUAGAGCUAGUACAUCUUUGCAAGUGUCUAUACGGUUUUUUAAGUGUAGAAAGACAGGUAAUACGAAUUUAUUUUUGAAAGUGAGCUAAGAAUUUAGAUAAUUUAGAUAAAGAGAAAGGGGCUACGGAAGGGUAAGGAAUUGUUAGUAAGCAUUUAGAGAAAUCAUAGAUUAGAGAUUAGCCACGAGAGUUUGAUUGGGUUUGGGAGAGUAAUAUACCAAGAUCAUGGACAGUCCAGUGCACACGCUAUCCCAGUCUUUUAUAUAACUAGUAACUAGUAAGAAACUAGUACGCUGCAAUCGUUUUUUCAUUCAUGUGGUUGCCUUUUCGUUUUUUAUGAGCAUAAGCAAAAUGUUGUAUUAGCAGUUAAAAAUAAUUUAUAAUAAAAUUUAUAUAUAUAUAUAUAUAUAUAUGUUCUUAGUAACCUAAAAACAAUGACCGAAAAAUAAACUAAGAUUAAAAAACCUUAAAAUCGUCUCUAAAUUUUAGCUUAUUAGCAUAAUUGAGGUUAUCAAUCUUAGGGAAGGAUUUGGGUUAAUUGGACUAUGCUGUUAUCGUAUACUCUCUCGUUUCAUAACACUUAUCGUUUUAUAUAAAAACACAAUCUCUAAAAAAUAACUUUGCCCAUAAUUUUUCAAUGACAACAAAUAUAAAAAUGUAUAAUUUUAUUUAAAUACUUUUUAAUACUAUUUUAUGUAUAUAGUCCAUAUGCUUCUAAAGUAGAUAUAUUAAAAGUUAUUCUUAGUGAAAGUUUUAAAAGUUUAAUCUCAACCUAGUUGUCAGUUUUUAUAAGAAAUUAGUUUUUUAGGCUGAACAACUUUUAUGUGAUCGAAAAUGUUUACCCAUGAAAUUGGAGGAUAGAGAGAAAAAAAGAAACACACUCUUGAAUCAUAAGAUUAAGAAACAUAUUAUCUUUGUUUUCCAAUAUAAAAUUUUCUAUCACUAGAUUUAUAGAUUCAUAUAGAUACUAAUAAAUCUAAAUAAGUCUAGACAUAUAUACAAACAAUAUGUUUUAAUCAACAGAUAGAUCUAGAUACAGUUAAAAUGUCUUACAUUAUGAAAUAGAGGGAGUAGGAUUUUGAUAUAAUUGAAAUAGUAAAAAUAUAUGAUUAAAAUAAAAAACCAUAAUAAUGUUUGAUUGAAUGACUUCAUGAAAAGAUAUGAAUCUGAAGAGAGAGAAAAUCGAAGAAAAUUGUCUAUGAGCAUGGAUCUCAUGUUAAAAUUCCUCCCAAUAAGAAUUUCAUAGUAUUUAAUAGGAUUAAAUCAUUUGAUCCUUCGAAUCAACGACAGCGGUACAUCAUACCCUUCUAACAAACCACACAGAAACAACAAUCGUUUUAUCAACUCGAAACUUCUCAAAGAUGGAAAGAAAAGCAGAAGAGGAAGGAGAAGAUCUGCAUAGAAAAGGCAAUGGAGACGAAAAGGGGAAGACCAAAUGAAUCGAAUCAAGAUCUAUCCAUCGAUGCCAAAUCUCCUCAAGGAAAUCGAUCAAGCAAAAACCGGGAAGAGCAGCAAAUUCAUAGUCAGAGCAGUUUACCUUUGCAGAUCGAUCCGACCAGCGACUAUGCUCCCGUCCAGUUGUAGAUCGCAAAACUCCGAAGCGAAUCGUCGUCGAAUCUUUUCGAGAAUCGCAAAAGGCUUUAUAAAUAGCAAAGAUAUCUAGGCAACGAAUCUCUAAUCUUUUUCUGGAAGUGAAAUACCUAAAAUAACCCUGUGACACUUUCACACCGCGGUUAAAGAUUUAAUUAAUGGUGC
rnacentral:lncRNA from 1 species